UACGAAGGGGGCUAGCGUUGUUCGGAAUUACUGGGCGUAAAGCGUGCGCAGGCGGCUUCUCAAGUCAGGGGUGAAAGCCCAGAGCUCAACUCUAGAAUUGCCUUUGAGACUGAGUGGCUUGAGUACGGGAGAGGUGAGUGGAAUUCCCAGUGUAGAGGUGAAAUUCGUAGAUAUUGGGAAGAACACCGGUGGCGAAGGCGGCUCACUGGCCCGUAACUGACGCUCAUGCACGACAGCGUGGGGAUCAAACAGG
rnacentral:rRNA from 1 species